rnacentral:rRNA from 1 species
GGACGAACGCUGGCGGCGUGCUUAAUCCAUGCAAGUCGAACGGGCGAUUCCGGAAGUCCUUCGGGGCGGAAGGGAGAGCUUAGUGGCGAACGGGUGAGUAACGCGUGACCAACCAACCUUAAGCAGGGGGACAACAGCUGGAAACGGCUGCUAAUACCGCAUAAGACCACAGUGAGGCAUCUUACAGGGGUCAAAGGAGCAAUCCGGCUUAAGACGGGGUCGCGUCCCAUUAGUUAGUAGGUGAGGCAACGGCUCACCUAGACUGCGAUGGGUAGCCGAGCUGAGAGGCUGAUCGGCCACACUGGGACUGAGAUACGGCCCAGACUCCUACGGGAGGCAGCAGGAAGGAAUAUUGGGCAAUGGGGGAAACCCUGACCCAGCAACGCCGCGUGAAGGAAGAAGGCCUUCGGGUUGUAAACCUCUGUGACAGGGGACGAAGGAAGUGACGGUACCCUGAGAGGAAGCUCCGGCAAACUACGUGCCAGCCGCUGC